rnacentral:lncRNA from 1 species
CUCGGGUGUGACCGUGUCGGCCUCAUGGAUAAAUGGAAGAAUCAAAAAGAAAAUGAAAAUAGUUAAGACCCACAGAACUCUCUACCUUGAGCCACAUAUGCAUCACCCCCACCCACUAGGAGUGAACUUGUGGAUCCCUCUUUGUGUUCUCACCCACUAGGAGUGAACUUGUGGAUCCCUCUUUGUGUUCUCCCCUCUGUACGACGGCUCCAGUACGCGUCCAUGGAUCCCCAGGGAUCUGUGUGCCUUUGAAACUAGGCGUUUGUGGGAACAAGAGCCAUAGCUUUAUUCAGAUUCCCGGAGGAUCCUGACCGGCAAAAAGUUAUGUCUCUGAUAGGCCCCUAAUGCCUUCAGGCAGCCUGAGAGCCACGUGACAGAGCCAGGCACUCGGAAGAGCAAGGAUGACAGGUAUCACGUUUAAGCCACCCAGGUGCCGAGGCAAGACACUGAAGGCACGAGCUGUUCCAGUGUAAUAGAGAAUAUAAUUAGAAUAAGAAAAGUUAUACUAGAAAUAGGAUAUAGAUAUAAUUAUAUACCAAUAUUAUCAAUCAUUAGUUUGUAGUAUUACUCUUUACUAUUAUAAUAAUCUCUGUUCUAUAAUUAUAACCUAGGAAAAACCAGGCCAUACAGAGUCAGGAGCUGAAGGACACUGUGAGAGGUACCAGAAGACAAGAGUGUGAGCCCUCUGUUACGCCCAGAUAAGGGUCGCUUGAAGGCUCCCCGGACCACUGGUAGCACCAGUGCCUGGGAAGGCACCUGUUACUUUGCAGACCGGCAAAGGGAGUCUCCCUCUCCCCAGGGUAGUCAGAGAACACUCUGCUCCACCACAUCUUGUGGGAGGCCUGACAUUACCCAGGCCUGCCCGCAGUCAUCCACGGGCUUAAACAGCUCCCUGUGGUGCUUCAACGGUCACGCUUAAAUAAUUAGGUAUGCUUUUAAUCCCAGUGACUCAGGAGGCUGAGGCAGGAGAAUUGCUUGAAUCUGGGAGGCAGAGGUUGCAGUGCACAGUGGUUGGCCGGGCUCUGUGGCUCACCCCUGUAAUUCCAGCACUUUGGGAGACGGAGGCAGGAGGAUACUCUGAGGUCAGGAGUUCAAGGCCAGCCUGACCAACAUGGUGAAACCCCAUCUCUACUAAAAAUACAAAAAAUGAGCCGGGCGUGGUGGUGCAUGCCUGUAGUCCCAGCUACUCGGGAGGCUGAAGCACAAGAAUCGCUGGAACCCGGGAGGCGGAGGCUGCAGUGAGCCAAAAUCCCACCACUGCACUCCAGCCUGGGCGACAGAGCAAGACUCUGUCUCCAAAAAAAAAGCAAUCCAUUACUUAUAACUUUCACCAUAAAAGCUGUUAUAACAACUGCCAAAGUUAAGCAUUAUUUUCUUAAACUUUUGUUUAAGUCAGACACUGCAUGCACUGCAUGAACUUCUGAGGAUAUGUUUAAAGAUGUUUAAAGAACACAGAACUGGGCAAAGCCACAGUGUUAACUACAAAAAGGAACAAAAGGAAUGUCUACCUGAGGCCAGUCGCAGUGGCUCAUGCCUGUAAUCACAACACAGGGAGGCCGAGGCAGGAGGAUCGCUUGAACCCAGGAGUUCGAGAGCAGCCUGGGCAACACAGCGAGACCCCAUUCCUAUAAAUAAUAAAAAACUUAGCAAGACACCAUUCCUGCAAAUUAUAAAAAAAAUUAUUCAAGCCGUGAGGUCAAAGACACUUACAGCCCUCGAUGUUCGGGUGGCUGAGGUGUGAGGAUCUCUUGAGCCCAGGAGGUGGAGGCUGCAGGGAGCAGUGUGGAUGUACCACUGCAUUCCAGCCUGGACCACAAAGGGAGACCACGCCUCAAAAAGAAAAAAAAAUACACCUACCUGAAUGUACCCAGACCCUCUACCUUCCAGAAAAGGAAGUGGGCUGAGGAGAGAAUCCUCACAACUUUAAUACUUAGCUCUCUGUCCCCUUAACGCUCACGACAACAGGCUCUUCUAAGCUGCCCCGAGCUGUCCACUGUUCUCAGCACCGAGCGUCAGUACACCUAGCUCAUCUUCACACUCUACUUAGCAGGUGCUGUGAGCACUCCCAUCCUAAAGUUGAGGACUCAGGCACACAGCAAGUGAACCCCGCCCCAGAUAACAGUGGCUAGCGGCAGGGCCGGGCCUGAUGGAAGGCAGCAGGAGCUCGCGUGCAGCAGAAGCAGUGAAAGCUGCUUGGGCCUGCACCUAAAUCCUGCCGGACCCGCCGCUACCUGGGCGACCGCUCCUGCACCUAAACCCAGCCGGACCCACCGCUUCCCCGGCGGCCGCACCUGCACCUAAACCCCGCGGGACCUGCCGCUUCCCGGGCGGCCACACCUGCAUGCCGUGGUAGCCCUUGCCCGAAUAGGCCAUGAGCAGCACGAUCUUCCGCUUGGGCAGCUUCUCGCGCCGUUCCUCGUCCCCACAGCUCUUGAGCUUCUUCGUCGGAUGCUCUCCGUCCUCCCAGACGCGGUCGCCCCCGGCCCAGCCGCUGCAGGACCUCCGGUCCCGGGGGCAUGCGGCUCCGGCGGGCAGCGGCUCCGCGUUCCCGGCCAUGCGCGGCGAGCUGCGGAGAAGGGCGGCGUGAGCGGGGGCCCGCUCGGCACCGCGCGGGGUGGACUGGGGUGGGGUGGGCUGGGCGGGCAUAGCGGGGUCGCCCGGCGUCGCGGUCAUUACCAGGACGGACGCGGUCCCAGGCGCAGGGUCCACCGUCCGAAGUCUCCCAACAGCGCGCGAAGCUGGACGCCCAUGCGCAGGCUACCAGUGCACCCGAUCCCGCCCUGAUCCCCGACCCCUGACCCCCAGUGCCCCAGCUCCGCCUCUGCCGACCCCUAACCUCUCAGACUCUGACGCUGCAGCCCUGUUCCUUCUGACCCCUGACCUCCGGGAAACCGGCGCCCCAGCCCCUCUCCAGCUAACCCCUGACCUCCCGGACCCGCACACCCCAAGCCCGCUCCUGCUGGCCCCUGACCUCUCGGACCUGGACGCCCCAGCCUCACUCCUGCUGACCCCUGACCUCUCAGGCCCCGCGCCCAAGCCCCGUCUCUACUGCCCCCAGACCGCCCCGGGACCCUGACGGAGAAACUCCAACGUCCCCUGACGCCCAGGUUAACCUCUGACUUCCCCAGCC